CCUGAAAAAGAGGAAUGAGCGCUCGGAUGGAAACCCUGGCAUGCUCUGAAUGGCGAAGGGGAGACCGGCCUUGCACCGGGUGCCUCAUGCUGAUUAUUUAAUUCCUCACCGCACUAGGGAGAAAUAUCUCAUCACCAUCGUCAUCUCCAUUUGCCGAGGCUCAGGCCAAAGAGCUCCAGUAAGGCGAGGAACCCCCGUGCUCACCCAGGUCGGUGUGACGCCAGAGCCCCAGGGUCUGAGGUCGGCCGUGUGGGGCCAUCCAAGCGAAGAUGCCACCCCUCGGCUCAGCACCCUGCCCCUGAGCGGGGAUGUGCUUGCAGAGCCCUUCCAUAAUAAACUCCGCUUGCUCGGAGCCUGGAGAACUUGCCUGCGUGCUCCAGGCCGGCUUGGUUUGACAAGGAUCUGCCACUCGGCAUAAUCCAAAGUCACCAGAUGCCUCCAACGUGGAGGAUCGUGUUCUAAGCCUCCACCAGCAGCAUUAGCUCUCUGGAUCUUCCCCACAGCACGAAGGAGGUGCCUCAACUACUUUCUUUCCACGUGACAGAACCGAGACUCAGGGCUGUGGUGCCACACUGGCUGAGAACUGGUGCCGUCUGCCCUGGCUCCGAGCGUGCAGCUCUACCAUCCAGAACAUACCGACCACAGCAGUCCACUUGAGGGAAGUCCCUCAACGGACACUCCCAAAGCCCUCAGCUGUGUGGAACAUGGGUGGGGCUAUAAACACCACCCCCACCUGCAACCUGAGUGACCCGGUCCAAAGGCAGCAUCCUAUAUUGCAUCUGUUAGAGAAUGCUACAUACAGCGUGGGUGACUGGCAAGGCACAGCCGAUAAAAGACCAGGAACACCAUUGUGGGCUCAGCCCAGGUCCCUCCUCCCCUGUUUAUUCCUGGGGUUCUUUCUGCCUUGGGUCUCAGCCCCCACAGUCCACCAUGUUCUUUACUGCCAGGACAAUCUUUUUUUUUUUUUUUGUAACAAAUGAGAAGUCUUUUAACUAGAAAUGUGGUGGGUAAUUUCAAUGACUUUUCUUUAAGGGAUGCAAAUUAUUCUCAGAGUCCACAGCCACCAUCCGCCUCAGGGGGCAGCCUGUUUCACAGCAGAGAAGCUUGGGCUCGUGCACUGAGAAACCCAGAGAAAUCAACAGUCACAGCCCGCCUCUCCGCCUGAAUCAGAUGAAAGCGUGAGCUCUGUAUAACGCAGAUCCGACCACAUCAUGCCCUUAGUUACAAUUUUCAGCAGCUUGGCACCGCCUUCUCGCCAGAGUCCCAAAGGCCGACCACCUUCCCAUCCUCACACCCCCAAGCGUAGUGCUCUGCAGUUCCGACAGUCUACUUGCCAUUCUUCAGGUAAGAUGUGCCAGUGCCACUUUCUGUGGCUAAUGGUAUAUGUGUGUGCCCCCUCCCCCCCCACACACACACACAGCACUCACUGCUAACCAUGCCUGCAGCUUUAGGAGCUGUGCUCUGGAUACCCAAGGGCCCAAGCAAAUCUUUAAUAAAAAGCUCAUCACACCAAUAUUAACAAAGUCUUCAUCUGCGCCCCCGCCCCCCCUUUCCGGGGGCUUCCAGAACCACACCAAGCCCUGCUCAUCCUGUACCCUCACUGCCCGGCACGCUACCCAGCGUGGUAGGCCAUGGUGAGGACUGUGAGUGAACAAAAAGGAAGCCGUACACGGGUGACCGGGGAAGGAAAGGCAGGCCCCACGGCCACGGAACGAAGGAUGGGCAGAAUCGUGAAGGAGUGAGAGCAGAGGGGCCGCUUGCGAGUAUGUUCACACCUUUCAGGUGGAUUGUGUGCCAGGAUCAGUACGCCAUCAGGGGCUAGGUGGAAAGAGCAGGAGAUGUGGCAAACUCCAGCCCCAAGCUUUAGUUCCACUCACCAUCUCACAGGCAAGCCACUCAGCCCAGUGCCCUCAUCUACCAUGUGGUCACAGUACAAUAUGCCUCGGAGGGGUUUAAAUAGGGACUGGACAUAAUACAGACCCAAUAAUCGUACUAGCACAGGGCAAGUGAGCAGUGAACGCGGAGGGACACAUCAGCUGUAAGCCUAAGUAAUUCACUGCGUAAGCCACAGCUUUUCAUUUAUGGGUGAUUUUUCUCCCUCUUAUCCUCUGAGUUGACUAUAUAGAAUGACUUAAAAGCAGUUUGAGAAUAAAUUUUCAGCCUAUUAAGGCAAUCACGGGAGAAUAUGUUCUGGUCAAACAGUUCCAUAUAUGCUACAUAUACCCCAACAAUUUUUGAAGAAUUACAAAAACCAAACAAAACAAAAAAACCUUAAUUUUGAAACCCGCCUGUCCACAAUUCCAUCUUCCUGUGAUGAUUCAGAAGACAUUACAGGGCUUCCCAACGAACGCCUCCGGGGCUAUGAGAGCAAACAGCCAUAAUCACACGGCAUAGAUGAGGCCGUUUCGCUGGACAGACUUCCAGCCAGUCGGACCCGAGAUAAACUGGACUUUACCUAAAUGGAAAUUUAUCGCUAAACAUGCAAUUUAUCAGACUAGGGAAAAACUACAUUGUCACAAUACUCCUCUUCAGUAUCAGGUUUUCUUCUCAAUCUGGAUAAGACGUAAUGCUUGAUAAGGUGCGUGAACUGCUUCCCUGAGACUAUCUUCUCCCUGCCCGCCAAAAUGAGGUUCCUGGAGCCUACUGAACACACUCCAGAAACUCUGGACGGAAUGAUGAGCUUCCCAGUCCGAAUCUGCCUCUGUCCAAUUCAGACUCCAGUUUAUCAAGCAACGUUGACUGAGCCCCUAUCCUGUGAAGGCCACAGAAAGUAAGACACAGCCCUGCCUUUUCACAGGCUCAUGACCCGGCUGUAGCAGAGAGGCCUGGGGAGGGGCCAGGCUCACACAUGACAGCUAGAGCCCCGGGGAAGCCAGCACGUGCCACAUCACAGACAGGGGAGAAUGCGGGAAAGAGCCAAAGGAUGAAGAGUAGCCUAGGCUGGUGGGAAGAAGCAGCCUGAAGCUCAGGCCGACAAAGCGUUCCGGGGAACGGACACCACAUGCUCCCUCUGCCCUCUCUGAGCUGAGAAAUCAGAAGUGUCUACUGUGCUUGGGGAAAAGUAAGCUGGAUUCCAAGCACUGAGACUGUGAAAGAAUCACGUGAAAAAAGUGCACCGUGUCCAUUUGUAUUCUCAUUAAAAUGGGAUUUUCCUGCCCUUAAACAGGAGCUUGGACCUGAAACCAAACCCUUGGGAAGGUACUACUUGAUGUUCUUGGGCCUUGACUGAAUUCCAUUAACUACUGACGGCCAUUAAAUAAACCAAUGAAACGCUGGCAGCCAUCAGUACAGGAGAACAGGGCAGACUCCACUGAAACCCUUCCUCUGUGAUCGCCCCCCAGGCUCGUUCCCCUCUUCAGCUCUGGAUGCACCGCUGUCCUGUAUUUGGGGAAUCUUCCUAUUCGUGCUUAUGAACUCUCACCACAUAGGAGUAGAUCUGUAAACAGUUGAAUUGUGCUUCCCCCAAAAGAUGCUCAAGUCCUAACCUCCAGGACCUGUAAAUGUGAUGUCACUUGGAAAGAGUCUUUGCAGAUAAUCUAGUUAAGACGAGGUCAUGAGAGCGGGUCCUAAUCCAACACGACUGGAGUCCUUAUACACAGGGGGUAAUUUGAACCAAGUGAUAAACCCAUAAGGGGGGGAAACAACGUGAAGAUACACGGAGAAUGCCAUCUACAAGCCAAGGAACGCUGGAGGCCACCAGAAGCAAGGAGAGAGGCAAGAGCAGGUUCAUAGUCACAGCUCUCAAGAAGGAACCAACCUUGCUGACAUCUUGAUCUUAGACUUUGUAGCCUCUGUCCAGAACUGUGAGACAACAUGAUUCUGCGGUUUAAGCCCCCUACUUCGUGGUGCUUUGUCAGGGCAUUCCUAGGAAACAAAUACAACUUCCACAGCCUUUCCCUGCCAUUACUUUAUGCUUCUUUAGAUAUUCUCCACAGGCAGGGUUUCUUCUGCUUCAUCUAUGAUACACGCGCACACGCACGCACGCACACACACACACACACACACACCACGAAUGUUUUAUAACUUCAUUUUCAAAUAGGUUCAUAAGAUCCACUGGACCUUGUCAUGCAAGCCUGUCAUUAUGAGGCAUAUUUAAUGAGCACCAAGAAAUGACAGCACAAGCUGAGACUGUGUGUGUGAGGCCAGGCCUGCCAAUAAGAAGCUGCCCCCUGACUUCACCUCCAAGAGCAAUUGAGGAAGCCAGGAAAAGGCAACCCCAUCUGCCCCCACAAACAAGGGAAGAAGCUCAUCAGCCAAAUUAUAAUCCAAAACCUUGUGGCUCAGUAACAUUUUGGACAGAUGAAGGCACGGACAACCCACCAGAUCUUUCCAUCAUUCCUACAGCGAUGGGCCCAUUGAUAACCAAACCCUCGAGCCCACGGGCCAGCUGUACACUGUCCCCGCUUGCAUUCACUGCUUGUGCCUGCCCUCUGGGUCAUCCGCCGCUGUUCCCUUGGAGCAUGGAGGGAACUGGCGUUCAGAGGUGGAACAGCUGGUAGGAGGUGGGGCAGGGACUCAGAUGAGGCCAACCUUGCCUCUUCUGCUGAAACUGCCUGCAAGGGUUUCAGAAAUAGCACAUUUCUCUAGUGCUGGCGUGUAGGGGAAUCACAAGCAGUGGACAGUGUAAGAACAACUACAUAUCUAAGUGACAUUUCUGAGAUCACUGAUGUGGACUCUCUCUGUAUAAAGGAGUCAAGGGUUUCCAAUCAAAGCCUUCUCAAAAAGGGGAGGCACUAAAUCAGCAUAACAACAUCUCCAUAUAUUCUUGAGCCUUCGAGAUUCCUCAGACAUCCCUCUUGUUCCUCCAGCAGGUCAGCCCUAGUGAGCAUUUUGUAAACUCCUGCCCUUCUUUCUGCAGGGGACUAGAAGGAUCUCCGGGGGAAAGGGGGUCUCUCUUUUCCUCAAGCACAGUUACUAUGCAGAUCUGCACGAGGGACUCCAGGGCACCCAGGAAGCCUGACUGAGGUCACCUGGAGCCAUGCAGUUGCACUUACCCAUCACAGCCACUUAGGUAAAGCUUCUACAUAAAACCGAAAUGUAAGUCAUAAGUGAGAAAACAUUUUUUAACUAUUUUAGUUAGAAACCUGUCUGAAACAUCCUAGAACUCACUUCUUUCCUUUCCUGGAAGCCGUGUGGCGGUUUCCUCCUGGAGAAGUGUGCCUGCCACCGCGGGGAGCGCUUCUCUCUCCCUUCUCCUCGUGCUGGGCCAGGAAGCCACUAAGUGGGUUUGCUAGAACAAUGUGUAAAGUAAGAGUACACAGGCCCUGAGUGAGUGCAGGAUGCACCACGGCACCCCACCCGCCCCGUGCACGGCUCCAGCAUGCAGACACCCGACCUGCUGCACAAAGGAAGAGCUUUCCAGGCCUGUCACCCACGGGAGGCAAGACUCUCAGAGAUGUUAGUGGGCAGGGCAGAGCCCUCACAGAUAGCAGAGAGACUCCAGCCACAUUUCCAAACAGCUCAACCCUAUGUAAAUAAGGUACUGGUUUUCUUUGACUGGAACUGUCUACACAUGUUUUCCAUCAUUAGCUGAGAUCAGAGGAAAAACUAACGUCUGAGAAAAGAGGUAAAAACCCCAAGAACAUGACUUUAAAGCAUCUCUUCCCUCCCCCCAUGUUGGUCACAACUGCCACCAAGACAGUGGGCCUCCACCUGCGAGCCAGGGCCCCGGGGACUUAGCACUGCCGGGACCGGGAUCUGUGUGCGCUGCCUACCCUUGAACGGAUCACAUGUCCCACACGUGUACACUCAAGAGCUUUCAAGUGGAUGGAGAUGUAGCUGAGAUAAAUAAAAUUUAAAUUAAUUUAAAAUUCCUACUGCUACUAAAUCGGUAGUAGCUUUGUCGUUAUGUAUUCUCUCAAUGAAGGGUAUUUUAAAAAAUACACCCACUAUCGUAUUUUUGGCAUUAAUGGGAGCCCUUGUACCAGAGACAGGAUGGAAAACAUUAUGUCUUCUCUUCUGUAACUAAGCUGUAAUGUCUGAGGCAGACCAAAGCCUAGAAAAGACCAUCUACCUCCCUUCACAACAACAGAGGCAUCAAUAUGGUGACGUUUUGCUCCACUGUCCUAAUUUAGGGAAUGCUUGCGACAGCUGGGACAAGGAUAGGAGAAAGCGGGGGCAAAGGGAUCUGCCCACCGAGACUGUCCGGUGCCAGCCCAGGCUUAACUGGGGUCAACCCAGAUGCUCAGCUCUCCCUGCUGUGUCCCAUCCCCCACCCCCACCCCCCAGUCUGAUUCUAAACUCCACAGACAACACCUUACUUACACUAGAAAAGUAGAGUGUGGGACCCGCCGCUUUACACUCCCCUCCUCAGGGAGGAGGAGGGCGGAAGCACCCCACUUCUUAGCUGUCCACAGACCUGAGACCCAGAGAGAAGAAAGGUCCCUCCGCACACAGCUGGAGUGAAGCAAACUAGGCAGAGUGACUUUCGUGCACGGUGCGCUGUUCCCAAGAGUCCGUCACCCGUAUGCAGAACAGUGCCUGGCACACAGUAACGAACUUCUGGAGCAACCAACCAAAGGGCACAUGAACUCUUAGGGAAAAACCAGCCCAAACUGGUCUGAACAAGUCAGAGGAGCUCAUGAAGCUGGUGACAGGAGAGCCAACUCCAGCCACCGCAAACCCCAUAGAAAAAAGUGGUCUGAAAACACCUUCCAUCAUCAUUUCUGCUUCCGUUCUUCCAGGUUGGUACCAAGCCACCUUUCGUAAUUCCAUUCAACUUCUUCUGAAGGCUCACUCUUAGUUUUUACUCUGCAUUUUGCAGCAAAUCACUGGACUAUAUUAUAAAGCUGUUUCACAAAAAGAUUUGGGUGCACUGUCCUACCCAAAGGAAGAGAGCUUCAUGGUAAGAUGGCUGUAAACAAAGGAGAGAAUGAGCAACCAUGGCCUCCUGAAGAUGGCCAUACCACUCCUUUUUUUUAAGUUAAAGUGUAGUCGAUGCACAAUGUUACAUUAGUUUCAGGUGGACAACAGUGAUCCAAUACUUCUAUACAUAUGCUGUCCUCACCACAAGUGUAGCUACCAUCUGUCCCCACGCAACCCUCUGACAGUACCACUGACUAUAUUCCCUAUGUUGUGCCUUUCACCCCAGUGACUCAUUCAUUCCCUAACUGGAGGGUGGCUACUUCUUAAACACUUCCGGGGAUGGGCACUUACUUUCUCUUCAGGCAAUUCACUCAAUGACUGAAGAGCUUCAAUGAAAGAUUCUUCCUCCUAAUGAAUGAAAUCUGCUUUCCAGUUCAACUCUUGGGUCAAAGGUUUGAACCUUUGGAAAACCGUUGGAAAAAUUCAAUGGAGCCUCUUUCCUCUUCCAAGCCCUGGAAACUGCCGUCAGCCCUGCCAUGCCCAGAUUUCUCUUCAGCAAAAAACUGCUGCAAAUUGUACUGGACCCCUUACCAUCUUGACACCCACCUCCACCUGCCUUACAAAUUAACAUUCAUCUUUGAGUGUGGUGCCCAGAACUAAACCUAAUACUCCAGAUGUGAUCUAACACAGGGCAUGCAGGAAAAGAGCAUCCCUUUCAAUGUAUGGUAGCCUAUUUCUGAACCAAACAUCAGCACAUGAGGUCUAAUAAAAACUAAGGUUAACAGAACGCUCGAAAUCAGGAUUAUUUCAACAGCCUCAGUCACCUGGAACUACAUUUUUAACGGCAUUACCCAAGAUGCCAACAGUCACUCCAGGACCCGUGUCACAUAGGAGGUGUGUGGUCAUCUGAAUUCCUCCCACUAUUUUUUUCCCUUUAAAUUCAGCUAUAUUUGUGACCGAACCUUGGCAAGAAUUACAAAUGGGUUACUCCACAUUCACAUCACAUGUGCUGCACAUCGGAGACAGACUGGCCAAUGCCCUUGCCGCACCAUAGGCUUUGUCACUACUCCCUCUUCCCUAUGCACACCCGCAGGCCGCCUUCCUGCACUCAACGCCGGUGGCCACCAGCUCCCAGUGAUCUCGUGACUUCUUGAUAUUAGAGGAUAACCUCUAAUUUGGUGCAUUUAUUCAACACUAAACAAAAAUUAGAAAGCCAAUUUUUCUCUCGAAACCACCCACCUACCUUGACUGACAUCAGAAACUUUGUGGGCAAAAUUACUGAGUUAAAUUACUAUAUGUAACUGUACUAAAAAGUUUGAAAAUUUAAGUAUUGUAUAUAUAAACUGAUUAAAUAUUCAUCUAAUAUAAUGAGGGCUCUACCCAAUAUUCUUUAAAAUAGUAAUAAAGAACCUCAAAGACCUUCUGAGAGCAAAUUAUGGAGUACAUUAAUGCUAGGCAUUUAGUCCAUUAAUUCCCUCUGGGCAUUCAGGCAGUCCGGUCGGAACCCCAUCUUUCAAAGACUAGAGAAAAAAUUGGCCUUUUUUUUUUUUAAACAUUACAAGAUAGGAAUGAGAUAUGAAUUAAAGAUUGUUUUGAGGACCCUCAUAUGCUUGGAAAGGCUAUUAUAUACUAACAAUUGAUAGGGAAAUUACUCAUCAAUCUCUAUUCUUAAAGCAAAGUUCCCAAGGGAUCUGAAAAAAACAACAGAGAUGGCCUAUCUCAUUUUUGUAUGAGUUAUAAAGUUGCAUUUAUUUUUUUUUAAGUUUUAUUUAUUUAUUUUGAGAGAACGAGUGGGGAAGGGGCGGAGAAAGAGGGGGGAGAGAGAUCCCAAGCAGGCUCUGAGUUGUCAGCACAGAGCCUGACGUGGGACUCAAAUUCACAAGCCAUGAGAUCAUGAUCUGAACUCGAAGCAAGAGUCAGAUGCUUAACCAACUGAGCCAUGAGGCAUCCCUAAAGUUGCAAUGCUUUACAAAUAUUCUCAUUUGCAAACUUCAUAAAAUUCAGAACUAU